AAGCGUUGUUCGGAAUUAUUGGGCGUAAAGCGCGUGUAGGCGGUUUGUUAAGUCUGAUGUGAAAGCCCUGGGCUCAACCCGGGAAGUGCAUUGGAAACUGGGAAACUUGAAUACGGGAGAGGGUAGUGGAAUUCCUGGUGUAGGAGUGAAAUCCGUAGAUAUUCGGAGGAACACCGGUGGCGAAGGCGGCUAUCUGGACCGAUACUGACGCUGAGACGCGAAAGCGUGGGGAGCAAACAGGAUUAGAUACCCUGGUAGUCCACGCCGUAAACGAUGGGUACUAGGUGUUGCGGGUAUUGACCCCUGCAGUGCC
rnacentral:rRNA from 1 species